rnacentral:siRNA from 1 species
ACAGCAAUAAAAUCUACAGCUACA